rnacentral:rRNA from 1 species
CCUACGGGCGGCUGCAGUGGGGAAUAUUGGACAAUGGGGGCAACCCUGAUCCAGCCAUGCCGCGUGUGUGAAGAAGGCCCUCGGGUUGUAAAGCACUUUCAGUGAGGAAGAACGCCUGGUGGUUAAUACCCAUCAGGAAAGACAUCACUCACAGAAGAAGCACCGGCUAACUCCGUGCCAGCAGCCGCGGUAAUACGGAGGGUGCGAGCGUUAAUCGGAAUUACUGGGCGUAAAGCGCGCGUAGGUGGCUUGAUAAGCCGGUUGUGAAAGCCCCGGGCUCAACCUGGGAACGGCAUCCGGAACUGUCAAGCUAGAGUGCAGGAGAGGAAGGUAGAAUUCCCGGUGUAGCGGUGAAAUGCGUAGAGAUCGGGAGGAAUACCAGUGGCGAAGGCGGCCUUCUGGACUGACACUGACACUGAGGUGCGAAAGCAUGGGUAGCAAACAGGAUUAGAUACCCCGGUAGUC